rnacentral:misc_RNA from 1 species
AACGCACAUUGCGCCUCCCUUUACCGGGAGGCAUGCCUGUCUGAGCGUCAUUUAAAUCAAUAAUCCCUCAUUUGGGUUUGUUCUGGGCCCUGCAUGUCGUCCAUGCAUCGCCUCAAAGUCAUCGGCCUUGAUUGUGGAUGAGCUCCUCUUGGACUUACCACGGUGAAAGUCGCCCCUCCGUCGUGGGACCCGAAAGGGCCCCGUGAACAUUUUGACCUCAGAUCAGGUAGGAAGACCGCCUGAACUUAA